AACGGCCACUGCCGCCCGCAAUGUCUCGGUCGUGGGUUCGUUAUCCAGUUGUGCUUCAUUCUAAGCCGUUCUGUACAUUUAUACUGGAUAUUAACUGAAGUCAUUUAGCUUUGCUAAUGCUGUUUGCUGUGUGUUUUGCAUCAGUGCUUCGUGACGUCGGCUGUAUUGCGUGUUUUCGCCGACGGCUUACUACCACAAUGGCGGGAUCAGCGUUCGCCGCCUUCUUGCCUCGGUGCGUCUUUGUACGUCGCACGUUCGGAUAACACUUUUUCCGACUGCUGCAUCCUUCUUGUACCUUGGCGCUAGCUGGAUGACGGGACCUCAUCAUGAUCCGUGUAUUGCUUGCCUAUGUCUACAAGAACCAUUACGCGUGGCCUGUGACAGCAAGCUUUUGUGGGCAGCAAGUGCUCUCGCACGAAGGCUGGCCUACUCUGGCAGCGGCGGCAAUCAUCUGCAAGAUUUAUCCAUGAUCACCUUUGCUGCUAUUUGUCACUCUUGUUGAUUGCACUUUCUGCAUCUUUUCUAAUUUAUUAGGUAAUAAAGUAUGAGUAUGUGACAUGGUGUGCAGUUGAUGUCUUGGUGCAUUUUCACUUGCAAUCAUCUUUUAUGCAUGAAAAGCUCAUCGUACAGUUUAUGAAAAAAAAAAUAACAGCAUAUUAUAAUUUAU